UAUAAAAUAGUAUAAUGAGUACAUAGAGUUUUGAUCUCUGCAGAAGAAGUUCGAUUCUUCUUUUUAUAA
rnacentral:tRNA from 1 species